rnacentral:rRNA from 1 species
CCUACGGGAGGCAGCAGUAGGGAAUCUUCCACAAUGGGCGAAAGCCUGAUGGAGCAACGCCGCGUGGGUGAAGAAGGUCUUCGGAUCGUAAAACCCUGUUGUUAGAGAAGAAAGUGCGUGAGAGUAACUGUUCACGUUUCGACGGUAUCUAACCAGAAAGCCACGGCUAACUACGUGCCAGCCGCCGCGGUAAUACGUAGGUGGCAAGAUUUAUCCGGAUUUAUUGGGCGUAAAGGGAACGCAGGCGGUCUUUUAAGUAUGAUGUGAAAGCCUUCGGCUUAACCGGAGUAGUGCAUUGGAUACUGGGAGACUUGAGGGCAGAAGAGGAGAGUGGAACUCCAUGUGUAGCGGUGAAAUGCGUAGAUAUAUGGAAGAACACCAGUGGCGAAAGCUGCUCUCUGGGCUGUAACUGACGCUGAGGUUCGAAAGCGUGGGUAGCAAACAGGAUUAGAUACCCCUGUAGUC